rnacentral:rRNA from 1 species
CAGCACAGCCACGGUAAUACGUAGGUCCCGAGCGUUGUCCGGAUUUAUUGGGCGUAAGCGAGCGCAGGCGGUUAGAUAAGUCUGAAGUUAAAGGCUGUGGCUUAACUAUAGUACGCCUUGGAAACUGUUUAACUUGAGUGCAAGAGGGGAGAGUGGAAUUCCAUGUGUAGCGGUGAAAUGCGUAGAUAUAUGGAGGAACACCGGUGGCGAAAGCGGCUCUCUGGCUUGUAACUGACGCUGAGGCUCGAAAGCGUGGGGAGCAAACAGGAUUAGAUACCCCCGUAGUCCCUGUCUCUUAUACACA